CGCAAAACAAAACUUUCUCACUCUCACUCAUUCUCAUUCAUUUCUAGCAAUUAUAUAAAGAAAACAUCAAGUACAAUACUGAUUUUACAUCAGCUUUACCAUACUUGUUUACUAGCUUUUCUACCUAAAAGAAAAGAGACAGUCACACCUAGCCAUACUUCUAAAAUCAAAAAGCUAAACAAAGUACUCUGCAUAAUGUGACAGCAAAAAUGUCACAACCUUCAUCAGUGUGUACUCAAUGGAGCCAAAGAAAGACUUGUUAAUGAAUAAAGAAAGUCUCUAUCUCCUCUGGAAAUUAAAGGACCUAAUAAAAAUAGCAAAAAUAAAUGCAAAGAGGACUGUAAUCCCAAGAAUCACUGCUGCAACCACUCCCAGAAAAUCAUGUUUGACGCCAUAAUAAUCUCUCACAAAUUGUUCAACUGUUUGGCCACCUUCAAGAGUAUCCUUAAUAUCUGCAAACUGGGAUGCAAUUAGUCCAUACAAGGUCCAUGACAUUGGACAUCCCCAGUAGUACCAU
rnacentral:misc_RNA from 1 species